rnacentral:tRNA from 2 species
AGAGAGUUGGCAGAACAGGAUUAUUGCACUUAAUUUGAGAUUAAAUUUUUAAGGGUUCAAAUCCCUUACUCUCUU